rnacentral:lncRNA from 1 species
UAUGGGGCUUUAUGUGGGUUAUGGGGUCUUACAGGGUGUGGGGGGUUAUGGGGCCUUAUGGGGGUUAUGGGGCUUUAUGGGGCUUUAUGGGGGUUAUGGGGCGCUGUGGAUACAUUGUGGGGUGUUGUGAAGGCGGUGUGGGGCGCUGUGGGUCCCUAUGGGGUUCCUAUGGGGUCCCCGUGGGGUCUCUGCGCUUCAUAGGGGUUCCUGUGGGGUCUCUGUGGGGUCUCUAUGGGGUCUCUAUGAUGUUUAUGGGUGUUUGCGGGUUCCUAUGGGUCACUAUGGGGUUUCUAUGGUCCUUAUGGGUCUCUAUGGGUUGCUGUGGGUCCCUAUGGGGUCCCUAUGGGGCCAUGCGGUCUGUAUUGGGUCUGUACGGGGUCUGUAUGGGAUCUCUAUGAUGUUUAUGGGUCUCUGUGGGUCGCUAUGGGUCCGUAUGGCCUCUGUGGGUCCCUGUGGGUCCCUAUGGGGUCAUAUAGUCCGUAUGGGGUCUUUAUGGGGUCUCUAUGGGUGUCUAUGGGUCCCUAUGGGUCGCUGUGGGGUCUCUAUGGUUGCUAUGGGGUUUCUAUGGUUGCUAUGGGGUCUCUAUGGUUGCUAUGGGUCUCUAUGGGUUGUUGUGGGUCCCUAUAGCGUCUGUGGGUUCCUAUGGGCCCUAUGGGGUCCCUAUGGGUCCAUAUAGUCUGUAUGGGGUCUGUAUGGGAUCUUUAUGAUGUUUAUGAGUGUUUAUGGGUCCCUAUGGGUCGCUAUGGGGUCUCUAUGGUUCCUAUGGGGUUCUAUGGGUCGCUAUGGGUCCUUAUGGUGUUCGUGGGCCCCUAUGGGUCCCUAUGGGGCCAUGUAGUCUGUAUGGGGUGGUUGUCACGUUUAUGGGUCGCUAUGGGGUUUCUGUGUUUGCUAUGGGUUUGUGUGUGUUGCUAUGGGCCCGUAUGGUCCCUGUGGGUCCGUGUGGGUCCCUAUGGGUCCCUGUGGGUCCCUAUGGGUCACUGUGGGUCGCUAUGGGUCACUGUGGGGUGGCUAUGGGGUGGCUAUGGGGUCAUGUGGUCUGUAUGGGGUCUCUAUGGGGUCUCUGGUAUUUAUGGGUCCUUAUGAGGUCUGUAUGUUCUCUAUGGGGUCUGUAUGUGUUGCUAUGGGUCUGUAUGUGUUGCUAUGGGUCCGUGUGGGUCCCUGUGGGUCCCUAUGGGUCACUGUGGGGUCGCUAUGGGUCGCUAUGGAGUGGCUAUGGGGUGGCUAUGGGGCCAUGCGGUCUGUAUGGGGUCUCUAUGGGGUCUCUGAUGUUUAUGUGUCCUUAUGAGGUGUGUAUGUUCCCUAUGGGGUCUGUAUGGUUUCUAUGGGGUCUGUAUGUGUUGCUAUGGGUCUGUAUGUUUGCUAUGGGCCCGUAUGGUCCCUGUGGGUCCGUGUGGGUCCCUAUGGGGUCGCUAUGGGGUGGCUAUGGGGUGGCUGUGGGGUUUUUGUCUCCGCAGACGGACGCGAUGACGUCGGACGACUUCGAUAUCGUCAUCGAGGCGAUGCUGGAGGCGCCCUACAAGAAGGAGGAGGCGCAGCCCGGACCCUCAAAGCCACCGACGGAAACUGCGCCCCCUCAGCAGCCGCCCGAGGAGCACAGCAAGGAGCCCAAAAAGGAGAGCGGGGGCAGCAGCAGGUGGGCAAUGGGGGG